AGGGCAUGAGCAGUGGAGACAGAAGAAGAGCCAGGAAAGGGACCCUCGCUGCCUGAGAAGGAUGUGGAAGGGAAAGGACCAGCCUUCUGGCACACAUGGCUCCCAAGAUAUCCCAGCCUGCAGGCUGCUGCUGCCUCGCCGGAGUGGUCCACAAAUAGAGAUGUGUGUGGAUGGUGCAGCCCUCUACCCAGAUGAUGGUACCAUGUGAGAGCCAAGAGCCUGGGUCUUCCCCUCUGCUGGCCUGGGUCCCAGCCUAUGCUUGGCACCAUUCAACCCCCAACUGGUUCCAGCUCCUAGUGAUGAAGGAAGUGGUCACAAGGGAGCUAGAAGCAGAGGAGAGGACACCUGGAGAAAUCAUGAAGUACA